rnacentral:lncRNA from 1 species
ACUCUCAUGAUGACAUAGAAGAGAUGCGUCUGAAUCUUUCUGCCAGUGUGUUAAAGUUAUUCUGAUAUUGACUGUAGUUCUGAGCUUUGUCUCUAUCCCACCAAACCACUAACUUCUGGAAAUUACUUGUAGACCAAGAUGGGAGGACUCCGUGUGUGGCUCCAUAUGAAUGACUUAUCGUGCCUGUCCAGAGUCAGGGAAAGGAGAAACAAUCUUAUUUGAGAAGGGAGGAUAUCACUGCAGUGGUUGUGAAAUCGUGUUUGGAAGCUAGAUUGCUCUAGACCACUAAGGUCUGUGUCUCCUCUUGGUCUUCACAGCUCUCUUCAUGUGACAAAGAAACUUCCUAAAAUACUAAAAGCUAAAGGAGAUUGUUAUCUAAGCUUGAGAUGGAAGGUUGCCAGCGGAAACUUGGAGGAUCACAGCCAGUCGCCUGGGAUUGACCACAGGGAGUGGCAGAGGCAGAAAGCAAAAGACCAGUUGCAAUUAUCCAGGUAAAAGAUGGAGGCUGUUGCAAUAAUCCAGAAUCCUGAAUUGAGCCUGUGUUCCCAGUUCCUAGAAACCCUCAAGGUUAUUGGUUUCCUCCUCGCUUAAUAGACCAGUGGAAGAAAUCUACCUCCAGUUCUAUCUUCACAUGAGCAACUGUUUACAGUUUACAAUAUUACUCUGAAAAUCAGUUCUUUUCAAGUUUUAUCUAACACCCACCAGAAGAAACAGAAGAUUAUGAAAAUGGAAUUUGUCAAAGUUCCUCUCCCAACAAUAUGAUAUUUAAUUUUGCUAACAUUUUUUUUUGAACACUUACUAUAUUGCAGACAAUGGUCUAAGUAAAGCAUUUUAUGUGCAUCCUAUCAUGUCAUCAUCACACAGCCCUGUGAGGUAGAUACUAUUAUUAUUAACCACAUUUCACAUUCAAAAAAACUGAGGCUUAGAGAGACUAAGUAAAUUGUCCAAGGUCACACAGCCAUGAAGUGGCAGAGCUGUGGUUAAAACCUAUGUCUGUCUGAUGUUUAAGAUUUUGCUGUUAGCAUUACUUUGAAAUGACAAUAUGAGGGCAUUUUAUGUAUUUUUUUUGCCCCAAUAUGAUCUGCAGAAACUAUGUAUUUUAAGUACUACAUUUCUUUUAUUUACCAAAUUAUUGUCAGAUAAGAAACCGAAAUAAAAGUUUACAGGGUCUAGGAUUCCUCC